AAUGAAGUAGUUUAAUAUAAGAAUUUUAAGUUUGCGUCUUAAGGGUAAGUGUUGUGCUUCUUUGUUG
rnacentral:tRNA from 1 species